rnacentral:lncRNA from 1 species
CCUCAUCUGGUUGUAAGUAGGCAAUCUAGUAUAUUAUUCGUGGCACUAAUCUCCAGUCCCCAGAACCACUUCAGCUUAAUGUAGUGGUUCUGGUGUCCAUAGCCUGUCCCUGCAGGCCUUUUAAUGUAAACACGACGGCACUGCAGCACUGGCGUUAGUUAACAUGGCAGAUCAUAUGGGUGGGGCAUUGUGAUGUCACAUGGGGGGGCGGCAAACUUUACUUUUGCCUAGGGCGGCAAAAAUCCUUGCACCGGCCCUGCUUAAAGGUACUCAUGGGACUUAACCAAAUUGUAAAAUUCCAGUAAUAAGAGUUCAAUUAGAACAUUUCUCCAACUAACCCAUAGUCACAGCUUGGAUAUUUUGAAAUUACUGUGUUUUAACGACUAAUUAUUAUUCUAACUAAUAUAAUAAUUUCAGUGAUAUAAUUACUUUUUGGAAUUAGAAAAACCGUAACCAUUUAAAAGGACAUCAAUAAUCCAAAGUAGUCUCUGGGAUCACUAGUCACAGUUUCUAUCGGUAUUAUUUGUUUAGAUAACAUUAUUAUUUCAUUUGGAAUCUUUGUACAGACCGCUAGCCAGCAAUUACCAGCAGCAGAUGAUAGUUUUUUUAAUUUUGCCCUGUUUGGUGACGAUUUGAAGUUGGACCGGGGGGAAAUUGAGCUGAAAUGUGAACAAAUAGUGCUGUACAGAAAACAUUGUAGAUUCAUGGAAUAGCCUGCCAGUGGGAGCAGUAAUAGUAAUAUAGAAAGGGUAGUAGAUACAUGGAAUAGCCUUCCAGUGAGAGCAGUAACAGUGAUAUAGAAAGGGUAGUAGAUUCAUGGAAUAGCCUGCCAGUGGGAACAGUAACAGUGAUAUAGAAAGGGUAGUAGAUACCUGGAAUAGCCUUCCAGUGGGAGCAGUAACAGUGAUAUAGAAAGGGUAGUAGAUACCUGGAAUAGCCUUCCAGUGGGAGCAGUAACAGUGAUAUAGAAAGGAUAGUAGAUACCUGUAAUAGCCUUCCAGUGGGAGCAGUAACAGUGAUAUAGAAAGGGUAGUAGAUACCUGGAAUAGCCUUCCAGUGGGAGCAGUAACACUGAUAUAUAAAGGGUAGUAGAUACCUGGAAUAGCCUUCCACUGGGAGCAGUAACAGUGAUAGAGACAGGGUAGUAGAUACCCGGAAUAGCCUUCCAGUGGGAGCAGCAACAGUGAUAUAGAAAGGGUAGUAGAUACCUGGAAUAGCCUUCCAGUGGGAGCAGUAACAGUGAUAUAGAAAGGGUAGUAGAUACCUGGAAUAGCCUUCCAGUGGGAGCAGUAACAGUGAUAUAGAAAGGGUAGUAGAUACCUGGAAUAGCCUUCCAGUGGGAGCAGUAACAGGGAUAUAGAAAGGGUAGUAGAUACCUGGAAUAGCCUUCCAGUGGGAGCAGUAACACAGAUAUACAGUGUGACAGCACCUGUUUUGGUCCAAAGUUUGUAAAAUUCCCUGCAAUCCUAUUGGAGAUACUGGACAUGUAUCAAUGCUUUCUGCCUGGGGUGCACUUUGUCAUAACAGUGGCUCAGGCUGAAAUGAAAUGUAUUCUCAGUAUCUAAUUUUGAAUAUAUGUUAAAGGCAGUGAGAAGGCAGUGGGAAAGCUCAGUAGAUAAAGAUCACAGCUUUCCAACUAGAUUGCCUUUUCAUUCUUUUAAAAAAGUUUGGCAAGUAUAAUAUUGAUGAGCUGAAUGUAAGAUUCCAUUUUAUAACACUAAACAGCUCUUAAUCUGUUUGUUUGUUUGUUUGUUUUUCGAGGGGUGGGAGGCGUUUAGUUUUUUUACCGGUUAGUAAUUUUCUUCUACAGCAGAAUAUGAUCGUACAGAUUUCUGCCACAAACCCUGGGCUGUUCUGUAAUUUACAUAUCUGUGAUAUCUCCUAACGCUUGGCUCCUUGUCUAUUGUACUCUCCCCCUGUAAUAAUGUUAUUCUGUGAUCUGCGGAACGCGAUGGUAAAAUGUGAUACCAAAUGUAUUCGCCUGCUAUGCUGAGCGAGAGAACUUGGCCUCUAAUCUUUGCUCCCUCAUACAAAAUGAAAGCAAUAUGUAUAUUCACACAUAUCACAUUUACUGAAAGCUAAUUUCACACUGCUAAAUGCAUAGAUCUGAUAUACGAACGGUCUGCCCUUCACGUAACAGAAGACGAAAGUGCAGGAUUUGUGAGAGUUUAAUACUUUCACGCACCCAUCUGAUGUAAAGUGUUAGAGAACAGGUCAGACACUCUCACAGGGUUUGACAGAUUUUCUCAGUGGGAACAAAUCCUCAAAUCUUCAAUGCCACACUUUUACUAUUUUCUUCUAAAAGCUCAUGUCAGGUUCACAGUUCUCAGAUUGACCUCAUCAAGGACACAGCAUCAAUAGGGAUACAGACAUACACAGGGCUCGUCUUAUUCUCGGACUUUGUAAAUCCAUAAUUGGGUGAAGUCUUUUUCAGGAGCUGAGAUGUGUUAGAUGGACUGCUAGGAGAACUGUAGUAAUUCACAAACUGAGGAUACCACACUCACACUUAGGAAUCCAGGUGCUUAUCAGGGCUGAGGUUGGCCAAACCCAGUUUAGUGGAUAAAAUAAAUUAGGUCCAGGUACUCAGGAUUGUUUAUACUUAAAAAUAAUAAGGUGCGCUGUGUCUUUAAGACCCAAUAAUAUAAAGUGCAACUAAGUGCAAACAAUUUGAUAAAGUGCAAAGUGAUACAAAGUGCACUUAGAGUGUGAAAUAUAAAUAUAAAAUAUUAUACAUACAUAUGGCCUCUCAAAUCCAGAUAUACAUAGAAAGAAAAAAGACACAAAAAAAACAAUAGUGUGAAACCGUAUUAAAAAUAUAAUAUGGAUAAUAAAUGCCAAAUAUUGCACUCACAAAAGUAGAGCAGAAUAAGCCUGCUCUAGCUUUAACAGCUUCUUCAAAUAUAGGACUGCACAGACGAAAAAUAUUCCAAAAUCUUUAUUGCCCAGCACAGCACCAAUUUAUCACCUUCCUCCACACUUAGUAUUCAGUUACAGAGCCUUCGGUAGCAUACAGCAUAAGGGUAUCGACCUGUCCCUCUGCGGAUUCGCCGCCGUUAUUACCGUCUGUUGGCCGUCUGUUUCCUCAAACUUCCAGGGGGAGGGGCUUCCUCGGGUGCGUGACAUAAGGUGCGUAACUUUGCGUGAUGACGCGUUUCGCCGUAUUCACGGCUUCAUCAGAUCUUCCCAUCCAUAUCCUUAAAGUCCUUAUAUACCCAUCUUAAUGGGUGUAUUCAGGUGACUGCCAUAUAGAGUCUAUUAUUUUAUUGCUGGUAUCGAUCAAAUCAAUUAAAUAUAUAAAAACAAUAUUACUUUAUUCAAAAUUGCAUUAUUUAAAAACAUAUAUAUACAUUAAAACACAUCGUUUCCCAAAGAAACUUAUUGCAAGAGACAUAUUUAAAGAAACAUACUUAAAGGCAUCAUUACCCUAAGAGAAUUAUUUAAAGAGACACAUUUAAAGAGACAUACUUAAAGAUACAUAAAUACAUAUUUAGAAACACAUGCUAAUGACAUAACAAUUUAGCAACUCCUCCUAAUCCAAAUGUAAAAAGGUAUUGAAAAAAAUAUAAAAAAUAGAUAAUAAAAAUACCUGAAGCAAAGGAAGAAAUCAAAAAAAAGCCUUAAAUAUCUGAACACUAUAUUAAAAAACAUAUUCUAAAAAAAUAUAAAUCAUAUAAAAAAAUAUACAUUGUAAGAAAUAUAUAUAGAAACAUAUUAUUAUACUAAAUAACCCAACAUCUGUAUUAACCUAAAAAAUUUAAUAAAUCAAAUUCCAUAUUGAGCCCCCUAGGUUCUAAUGUUUUUAACCUAUGGACCCAUUGCAUUUCUUUUUUGCCUAUGUCAAUAAUAUGAUUUCCCCCUCUCCAUGAUUGGAUUGUUGCAGGAAGGCAGGUUUAUUGUAACAAGCUUGAUAAAGGCCUCUGUGUAGACCCACACAUUGCACUUUUUGUUAGGAGAACUGGCACAUAGGAUGAGCCUCUAUAAUUCCAUGUAUCAGACCCUGUAGGUUAUAUAGACAAGACAGGUAAUUCACAUGUCCAAUAUGGAUCAGGCAGGGAACUAAGGUAUUACCAGGUAGAUAAGGGGCCGGGGCAGGGGAGGAAUGGUCUAAUAACUGGGUGAGCAACCUUUAGCACUCCAAAUAUUGUGGACUAAAUAUCCCACAACAUUCUUACGGCAUCAGGGAAGACGUGGUCCACAACAUCUGGAGUGCCAAAAGUUGCCUAACCCUGGUCUAAUAAAUUGCGAGGGGGGCUUUUAUUUAUUUAUUUUCGCUUUUAGCACUAGUAGCAAUUAAACAAUUAACUUAAUAGUUCUUAAUAAACUUCAUGAUUGUGCAAAAUAUUCUAAAUUUAAUAUGUGGACAUAUUUCAUGCUAAAAAUGCACAAUGUGCAUAAUGUUUCCUGAGAAUUAUAUUUAGUGUGAACAUUAAUACUCACAGUUUUUCAAGUAGUGCAAUUCACGAUAUAUUUCUCUGUAUACACUUCCAUUAUUUAUUAUAGUCGCUAUUUUUAUUUGUGGAGGUUGAAGCACUGGUGAAAAAUGAGGCAGCGUGAUCAGUCCUGCAAAUAGUUUUUCACACAGUAAAUUUUUAUGUCGAUUUUGUUUGCCAGUUGUGCCUGAUUAGUAAAUACUUUACCUUUCAUUAUUUAUCUAAACAGGUUUUUUCCUGGGAAGAGUACAUUUAAAUGUUACUAUUUCUGAUGUUUUUGUAUUGAAUCGCGAUGUAUACAAUACAGGUAGUGAAAUAUUAGUUACAUAGCUGAAAAGAGACUUGCGUCCAUCAAGUUCAGCCUUCCUCACAUAUGUGGUUGCUGUUGAUCCAAAAGAAGGCAAAAAACCUGGUCUGAAGCGCUUCCAAUUUUGCCACAAACUAGGAAAAAAUUCCUUCUUGACCCCAAAAUAGCAGUCAGAUGUCUCCUUGGAUCAAGCAGCUAUUACCCCGCUAAUUAGAAAUUAUAUCCCUGUAUGUUAUGUUUUUGCAAGUAUUUAUCCAGUUGCAGUUUAAACAUCUGUAUAGACUCUGACAAAACCACCUCUUCAGGCAGAGAAUUCCAUAUCCUUAUUGCUCUUACUGUAAAAAAAAAUUUUCUUUGCCUUAGAUGAAAUCUCCUUUCUUCUAGCCUAAAUACACGUGUCCUAUCUAUAGCCCUGUUUAUGAAUAGAUUUCCAGAUAAUGGUUUGUACUGGCCCCGAAUAUAUUUGUAUAAAGUUAUCAUAUCCCCUAUAACUAUUGUUAUAGUAUCAGCUGAUGGCAGAUAUAGGUUUUGAGAUUCUAUAUUGGGCAGUGUGACAAUAACUUGGUAGCAGUGGAAAAUACGUGUUCCUGCUUGGCAGAGACUGAUGGGAGUCACCUAGUUGAGCAGUGUUCACAGCUUGCAUCAAUUAUCCUUUCCCCUCUAACCAGUUGGGGAGUGUCAGACUUUAUGGGUACUUACUAAACUGGGAAUUGUCAUGUAUUCUCCAGGGAAUUACAAAUUGAAGAUCAAAGUUGCUUUAUUGGAAACAUAGUGAAACAAUGUCUCUAAUCAUUCUAUUUUGUCCUAUAAUCUGAAAUUUCUUCGAGAAUUACCUCAAAUCACUAUUUAAUGAUGGGAAAAAAGAUUAUUGAUGGUUAGAGAACAGCCUAUAAAUGUUAAUUUCAUUCACAGUAAAAAAAAGAAUCUAUAUUUAUAUAUUAUAUAUUUAAUAAAUGUAUAUUUUAUCAGAGAUGGGAUACAAACGUGCUAAUUUUUGGAGAAAAAGUAAAAAAUGUCAAGCGCAAUCAAGUGAGACAUGUUAUGUAAAUAGUUAUCUUCUUUCGAUGAUUACAGCAAGUGUCCAAGAUCAUCUAUGGCGGAUCACGUCAUCGCACAGAACUAAUAAGAGUAACUAACAUCUUAAGGACAACAAUACAAAGAGGCAUUUGUUUUGGAAAUAAAACCAUGGGAGGAGAGGCAAGGAGAGAAAUUAUUAUUAUUAAUAUUAACUGUGUGUUAAUGUAGAGAUUUCGUGUCUGUAAAUUCAUAGAGCAGUUGGUACCCUUUACUGGCAGAUUAUUAGCAUCUCACUGUUAAAUCUAUCAGUUAUUGUUAAUAGAAAAAUCUUGUAAAAUUUAUAUUUUAUUUCAUUUAGGUAUUGGAUCUGCAUUCAGAGCCUCUCCCACAUACCUUUACUGAGUCAGAGUAUACCCCCAUCACCUCUCCCUCUGUCUGCGUACACCUAAACUUACAUCAUCAUGGCAAGAUCACCAUAGCAACCAGAAAACGAGCUGUUGGAUGCUGAAUGAUGCCAAGAAUUGCAAAUAGUAAAGCCACAAAGUUAUGGAGAGAAUAUUAAAUUGCAC